AGACACGUCAGUGUAAUUGUGGAUGGCGAGAGCCCUGAAAUACAGCUGGACAGCAGCGGUCUACAUCACUGCCCCUUCUGCAGAUACAAAGGGUCAAAAUGUGAUAUCGACGAUCACAUUAAAUGGCAUGCCUCGGUUAAAUACAGAGGUCUGCAGAGGAGCUUUCAGGAAGCAGGAAGAGAAGACGGGAGGAAAAAAAGCUACAGACAAAACUGAAGACCAGGAACUGAAACCUGGGAACCUGGAAGAUUAUGUUGUCCUGAAGGACACAAUUCAGGCAGCAGCAUGGUGCCAUUUACAGUCCUUCAAGGACAGCGUUUCUCUCCCAGAGGUCAUUGGGAUGGAAGGUUGGGAGCAGAUGGCAGCAUCAACACAGCGCGAAUCCCAUGACGGCGGGGAUGAGGAAGAAACGUGGAAACCAUUCCAAUUCUCGUUCAGAUUACAUACUGACUAUGAACUGUUCUGUGUGGAGAUGUUGGACAGGAGAAACCUGAAGGUGUUUGCCUCUUUUGAGUCGAACACCUCUCCCCCUCCCCGUGACGCCUGCGCCACACGACUCCAAUGUAGUCUGAUGAUGCAGCAUAAUGGCGGCACUUGGCAGCUAUGGCGGCGGUGACGGCGAUGUCGGGCGACAGAGCGUGAAGCAAGAGUGGCGUCCACCUCACUGAGGAAGGCGUCAGUGUGUUCCCCCCCCCUCCCCCCCCCCCCCCCUGUUGAGGGCUUUGUUUGUUCUACUCUUUAUUGAUUUAUCUUUUAUGUUAAUAGUUUACAAUCUAUUUUUUGUAGUUGUUAUUUUUUAAUUGUUUUGUUGAAUAAAAAGACUGUUAGUGCUCCUGUGAUUGGUGUAACUUAAUGUGCUUCACACAUGUAGCUUUUCAUUAUGUCUAUUGAGGUACAUUUAUUGCCCUUAGAUGUGGUCACUUCGUUAUUCCUCACAUUACAUCUGUUAAGGUCAUACCUUUGGGUCCCAGUCUUCAUAGUUCCCCAAAUCUUAUUUUGGCUCUUACUGGGCCUGUAACUCUCACAGACAGACGGGUACAGGAGUUCGGACACGUUGCAUUGUUUACAGGCAAGGGUGGAUUACCGCACGGGCACACCGGGCACAUGCCCAGGGGCCCAAGGGCGGCCCUAAGCCAGAGCUUCUGUGUGAAGUCGCUGUUAGUAACUUUUAAUGUUGCAUUGUCAAAGCAAUCAGUAGAGAAACACAAAAAUUCAAGCGAAAACGGCAAUAGUAGGGCUAUUAAUACUGUCACGACCCGGCUCAUGGUCGGACAAAUAAAAGGAACUGCGUAGGUAAAAGUAACAAAAGGAUAAUUUAUUUCCCUAACACAAGGGACCAAAAUGACGGCAAAGCAAACAAAGAGAACACAAUAGAAAACGAGGGGCUGCGGCGGAGCGGCACACCGCUCUCCCUCCGGAGCCAGGCGAUGUCAGGAAGAGACUGAGGCAGGAGGAAGGACCAGCUUAACACAG
rnacentral:lncRNA from 1 species